GAGAGCCGCUAGGGGAGCCGUUGCAACGGCUGAGAACCGGGGUGAACCCCGGGACCCUGUCACCUGAUCCGGGUAAUGCCGGCGUAGGGAAGCGAGCCUCGCGGACA
rfam:Symbiobacterium thermophilum IAM 14863 DNA, complete genome.